CAGGGUACAUACCCUCAGGGAAGGCACUUCUGAGUCCUCCUCACCAAGUUGUCCCCCAUGUCCCCUGCCAGGAAUGGGGAUUGGGCCACCAGAACUGUUGCUUCUCUGGGGGAAGAAGCUGUGCACCCAGCCCGCCUCCUUUCCUCGCACAUUUCUGGUCACACGACAGUGAGGAAAGCGUGUCUUCAUGGACGAUCACAGGGCAUUCAUGAGUCAUUCAGCAGGAACAAAGAAGCUUCAGUCUGCAACUUCCACGGGGAAGCAGUUGAAACAGUGUGGGCUCACACGUUUUUUUGAAAUCUGAAAACACUCCUUCGAGGUGCCCUUAAGCACCUGACAGCAGCUGUUCUCCCUUGACAGCUGGAUUCCGAACGUAAACAUCAUUUGUCGGAACGCGUCGGAAUUGUGUGCAUGCAGAUGUAGACGGCUGUGUGGCAGGGGCUGCUGGGAAGCCGCUUUGAGACACUUUCUGCUCGUCUGUCUCUACCAGCCCAGUGUGUGUUCGCAGAUGGAUUCAUUGCGGUGUUUCAUAAGGAGGUCAAAAGUCAAGCCGGCAUCCUUUCUCUUCUUAGGGGCAACUCUCCAACUCUCGGAUUCAAUCCCCAAGUCAGUGUGAGGCGAAGACAUCUAAGUCAAAGGGGCAAGAGGAGAGCAAAGUGAAGUCCUGCAAGUCCCUGAGCCCAAGAUUCACUCAUCCAGGCCCUGGCACCUUCAGCCCGCAGCGACCUGUCUGGGAGCUGCUGCACCUGUCUCCGCUCCCUGCAUACCUGUGCCCACCUGUCCGCACCGGCACGCCUAGGGAGGUAGGGCGUGGUGGCCUUUGACUCAGGUGUAUGCUGCUGCUUAUCCAGGGAUCUGGCACGUUACUUGGCUCCCUUGUGCCUCUGUUUUUACAAGGGAUAAUAAUAAUAAUCCCACCUCAGAGGGUUGUUGUGAAAAUUAAAUAAUGUCAAGCAUGUGAAACACUAGCCCAGCGUCUGGCACAUGCUAAGUGCCUGGCCCAUGUCACCUGUUGUUCAGUCAGUCAACAUGUCACCCAUAGCUUUCCUGGGUCGUUAACUGGACUUCUACUCAAUCUCCUUGUUCCCAUCCUCACCCAAUUCCAAUCUGUCUUUAACUCAGUUAUAAGAGUCAGUUCCCUAGAUUCAUUUACAAGCCUCUUAAUCUCCUUCUUCAAACCCUUUGGUGGUUUCCUGUCACUUCAGGAUACACACAUAAGCUCCUAUGCAUGAUUUACAAUACCCUCCAUGAUCCAUCUCCUCAUUUAUUCAUCCAUUCGUUCACUCCAUCUGUUUCUUUCUUCAUUUAUUCAUUCACUCAUUCACUCGCUCACUCAACACAUAUACACUGUAAGCCUAGUACAUGCCAGGCCCUAUGCUAGUCCACUUGUCUGUCUCCCAGACUGUGAAGUCCUUCCCAGGGUGGGCCAUCUGUAAGGCUUAUUAUGUGCUCAGCGAGCACUGGCUGAAGGAGCAAAGGGCCUAGGUGGACAAUGCUUGCCUGAUGUGGG
rnacentral:lncRNA from 1 species